rnacentral:rRNA from 1 species
GGUUAAGCGACUAAGCGUACACGGUGGAUGCCCUGGCAGUCAGAGGCGAUGAAGGACGUGCUAAUCUGCGAUAAGCGUCGGUAAGGUGAUAUGAACCGUUAUAACCGGCGAUUUCCGAAUGGGGAAACCCAGUGUGAUUCGUCACACUAUCAUUAACUGAAUCCAUAGGUUAAUGAGGCGAACCGGGGGAACUGAAACAUCUAAGUACCCCGAGGAAAAGAAAUCAACCGAGAUUCCCCCAGUAGCGGCGAGCGAACGGGGAGCAGCCCAGAGCCUGAAUCAGUGUGUGUGUUAGUGGAAGCGUCUGGAAAGGCGCGCGAUACAGGGUGACAGCCCCGUACACAAAAAUGCACAUGCUGUGAGCUCGAUGAGUAGGGCGGGACACGUGGUAUCCUGUCUGAAUAUGGGGGGACCAUCCUCCAAGGCUAAAUACUCCUGACUGACCGAUAGUGAACCAGUACCGUGAGGGAAAGGCGAAAAGAACCCCGGCGAGGGGAGUGAAAAAGAACCUGAAACCGUGUACGUACAAGCAGUGGGAGCACGCUUAGGCGUGUGACUGCGUACCUUUUGUAUAAUGGGUCAGCGACUUAUAUUCUGUAGCAAGGUUAACCGAAUAGGGGAGCCGAAGGGAAACCGAGUCUUAACUGGGCGUUAAGUUGCAGGGUAUAGACCCGAAACCCGGUGAUCUAGCCAUGGGCAGGUUGAAGGUUGGGUAACACUAACUGGAGGACCGAACCGACUAAUGUUGAAAAAUUAGCGGAUGACUUGUGGCUGGGGGUGAAAGGCCAAUCAAACCGGGAGAUAGCUGGUUCUCCCCGAAAGCUAUUUAGGUAGCGCCUCGUGAAUUCAUCUCCGGGGGUAGAGCACUGUUUCGGCAAGGGGGUCAUCCCGACUUACCAACCCGAUGCAAACUACGAAUACCGGAGAAUGUUAUCACGGGAGACACACGGCGGGUGCUAACGUCCGUCGUGAAGAGGGAAACAACCCAGACCGCCAGCUAAGGUCCCAAAGUCAUGGUUAAGUGGGAAACGAUGUGGGAAGGCCCAGACAGCCAGGAUGUUGGCUUAGAAGCAGCCAUCAUUUAAAGAAAGCGUAAUAGCUCACUGGUCGAGUCGGCCUGCGCGGAAGAUGUAACGGGGCUAAACCAUGCACCGAAGCUGCGGCAGCGACGCUUAUGCGUUGUUGGGUAGGGGAGCGUUCUGUAAGCCUGCGAAGGUGUGCUGUGAGGCAUGCUGGAGGUAUCAGAAGUGCGAAUGCUGACAUAAGUAACGAUAAAGCGGGUGAAAAGCCCGCUCGCCGGAAGACCAAGGGUUCCUGUCCAACGUUAAUCGGGGCAGGGUGAGUCGACCCCUAAGGCGAGGCCGAAAGGCGUAGUCGAUGGGAAACAGGUUAAUAUUCCUGUACUUGGUGUUACUGCGAAGGGGGGACGGAGAAGGCUAUGUUGGCCGGGCGACGGUUGUCCCGGUUUAAGCGUGUAGGCUGGUUUUCCAGGCAAAUCCGGAAAAUCAAGGCUGAGGCGUGAUGACGAGGCACUACGGUGCUGAAGCAACAAAUGCCCUGCUUCCAGGAAAAGCCUCUAAGCAUCAGGUAACAUCAAAUCGUACCCCAAACCGACACAGGUGGUCAGGUAGAGAAUACCAAGGCGCUUGAGAGAACUCGGGUGAAGGAACUAGGCAAAAUGGUGCCGUAACUUCGGGAGAAGGCACGCUGAUAUGUAGGUGAAGUCCCUCGCGGAUGGAGCUGAAAUCAGUCGAAGAUACCAGCUGGCUGCAACUGUUUAUUAAAAACACAGCACUGUGCAAACACGAAAGUGGACGUAUACGGUGUGACGCCUGCCCGGUGCCGGAAGGUUAAUUGAUGGGGUCAGCGCAAGCGAAGCUCUUGAUCGAAGCCCCGGUAAACGGCGGCCGUAACUAUAACGGUCCUAAGGUAGCGAAAUUCCUUGUCGGGUAAGUUCCGACCUGCACGAAUGGCGUAAUGAUGGCCAGGCUGUCUCCACCCGAGACUCAGUGAAAUUGAACUCGCUGUGAAGAUGCAGUGUACCCGCGGCAAGACGGAAAGACCCCGUGAACCUUUACUAUAGCUUGACACUGAACAUUGAGCCUUGAUGUGUAGGAUAGGUGGGAGGCUU